UGUUAUGAGUCAUUUGUUGAAUAUCAUAAGUGCAUUAAAGAAAAAGGCAAGGAUGCCCCCCAAUGUGACAAGUUUGCAAGGCAUUUCCGGUCCCUAUGUCCCGAUGAAUGGAUUGAAAGGUGGGAUGAAGCCAGAGCCACCGGAACCUUCCCUCCCAUAUGAACACC